AGUUAGAAACUUACACGAGAUCUAAGACAUGAAGUAAUAUGAUUGGUUGAGAAUGAAUGUGAUUGGAUAAAAAAUUAUUUUAUAGAAACUAUCCAUUGGAACCAUAUCUUCUAUAUAAUGUCUAUAGAAAUUAAUAUGUAUAAAAACUAUAUAUAACUUUUAGCAUUAGGAGUGCACUGGAAUACCAAAGUGUUAUAACUUCCGAGUGGGGGACGGACGGCUACAGAAAAUGUCAACGGGCAGCUAGUCAUAAUACUAUUGGCAAGAGAAGAAAACAGGGGCAUGGUCCCCAAGCGAGAGGCCAGGGGACGCCACUGCCCUCAUGUGGACCACGUAGUUUGAUCUAUUGAUCCGUGAUAUUUCAAGACGCGACGAGAGUUCAAAAAGCUUUGAGAAGAAACAACCAGUUUGGACUUUGGGCCCCCAACCACACUGAUGGAGUCAACAACCCCAAAGAAAAAGAAAAAAAACGCAGAUGAGGUCAAUAUGGGCAUGUUUAAUUCCUCAAGGAAUGUAAAAUAUAAAAUAUCAACUACUUUAGAAUGAUGAAAUAUAAAAUAAUAAAAUUUUUAAAAGUUGUGUUUAGUUUAAUCCAAAAUACAGAAUUCAUUGUUUUUAUUUAGAGGC
rnacentral:lncRNA from 1 species